GCCUUCGUGGUGUAAUGGUUAGCACACUGAGCCGGUAUUUCAGAGGUCCGUGGUUCGAUCCCCGGCUAAGGAA
rfam:Stegodyphus mimosarum contig29360, whole genome shotgun sequence.